rnacentral:rRNA from 1 species
UACGUAGGGUGCGAGCGUUGUCCGGAAUUAUUGGGCGUAAAGGGCGCGUAGGCGGGCUGUCAAGUCUGGGGUGAAAUCCCGCGGCUCAACCGUGGAACUGCCUUAGAUACUGACGGCCUCGAGGGAGGUAGGGGCGAGCGGAACUGUGAGUGGAGCGGUGAAAUGCGUUGAUAUUCACAGGAACUCCGGUGGCGAAGGCGGCUCGCUGGACCUCUUCUGACGCUGAGGCGCGAAAGCUAGGGGAGCAAACGGG